rnacentral:rRNA from 1 species
GAUGAACGCUGGCGGCGUGCCUAAUACAUGCAAGUCGAGCGAACGGACGAGAAGCUUGCUUCUCUGAUGUUAGCGGCGGACGGGUGAGUAACACGUGGAUAACCUACCUAUAAGACUGGGAUAACUUCGGGAAACCGGAGCUAAUACCGGAUAAUAUUUUGAACCGCAUGGUUCAAAAGUGAAAGACGGUCUUGCUGUCACUUAUAGAUGGAUCCGCGCUGCAUUAGCUAGUUGGUAAGGUAACGGCUUACCAAGGCAACGAUGCAUAGCCGACCUGAGAGGGUGAUCGGCCACACUGGAACUGAGACACGGUCCAGACUCCUACGGGAGGCAGCAGUAGGGAAUCUUCCGCAAUGGGCGAAAGCCUGACGGAGCAACGCCGCGUGAGUGAUGAAGGUCUUCGGAUCGUAAAACUCUGUUAUUAGGGAAGAACAUAUGUGUAAGUAACUGUGCACAUCUUGACGGUACCUAAUCAGAAAGCCACGGCUAACUACGUGCCAGCAGCCGCGGUAAUACGUAGGUGGCAAGCGUUAUCCGGAAUUAUUGGGCGUAAAGUGCGCGUAGGCGGUUUUUUAAGUCUGAUGUGAAAGCCCACGGCUCAACCGUGGAGGGUCAUUGGAAACUGGAAAACUUGAGUGCAGAAGAGGAAAGUGGAAUUCCAUGUGUAGCGGUGAAAUGCGCAGAGAUAUGGAGGAACACCAGUGGCGAAGGCGACUUUCUGGUCUGUAACUGACGCUGAUGUGCGAAAGCGUGGGGAUCAAACAGGAUUAGAUACCCUGGUAGUCCACGCCGUAAACGAUGAGUGCUAAGUGUUAGGGGGUUUCCGCCCCUUAGUGCUGCAGCUAACGCAUUAAGCACUCCGCCUGGGGAGUACGACCGCAAGGUUGAAACUCAAAGGAAUUGACGGGGACCCGCACAAGCGGUGGAGCAUGUGGUUUAAUUCGAAGCAACGCGAAGAACCUUACCAAAUCUUGACAUCCUUUGACAACUCUAGAGAUAGAGCCUUCCCCUUCGGGGGGGCAAAGUGACAGGUGGUGCAUGGUUGUCGUCAGCUCGUGUCGUGAGAUGUUGGGUUAAGUCCCGCAACGAGCGCAACCCUUAAGCUUAGUUGCCAUCAUUAAGUUGGGCACUCUAAGUUGACUGCCGGUGACAAACCGGAGGAAGGUGGGGAUGACGUCAAAUCAUCAUGCCCCUUAUGAUUUGGGCUACACACGUGCUACAAUGGACAAUACAAAGGGCAGCGAAACCGCGAGGUCAAGCAAAUCCCAUAAAGUUGUUCUCAGUUCGGAUUGUAGUCUGCAACUCGACUACAUGAAGCUGGAAUCGCUAGUAAUCGUAGAUCAGCAUGCUACGGUGAAUACGUUCCCGGGUCU